GGGUAGCCGGCCUGAGAGGGCGACCGGCCACACUGGGACUGAGACACGGCCCAGACUCCUACGGGAGGCAGCAGUGGGGAAUAUUGCGCAAUGGGCGCAAGCCUGACGCAGCGACGCCGCGUGAGGGAUGACGGCCUUCGGGUUGUAAACCUCUUUCAUCAGGGACGAAGCGAAAGUGACUGUACCUGCGGAAGAAGCGCCGGCUAACUACGUGCCAGCAGCCGCGGUAAUACGUAGGGCGCAAGCGUUGUCCGGAUUUAUUGGGCGUA
rnacentral:rRNA from 1 species